UUACCUGGGUUUGACAUAUGCCGGAAACAUCUGGAGACAGGUGCCCCGCAAGGUCGGUAUACAGGUGGUGCAUGGCUGUCGUCAGCUCGUGUCGUGAGAUGUUGGGUUAAGUCCCGCAACGAGCGCAACCCUCGUUCUAUGUUGCCAGCGGUUCGGCCGGGAACUCAUAGAAGACUGCCGGGGUCAACUCGGAGGAAGGUGGGGAUGACGUCAAGUCAUCAUGCCCCUUAUGUCCAGGGCUUCACGCAUGCUACAAUGGCUGGUACAAAGGGCUGCAAUAUCGCAAGAUGGAGCGAAUCCCAUAAAGCCAGUCUCAGUUCGGAUUGGGGUCUGCAACUCGACCCCAUGAAGUCGGAGUCGCUAGUAAUCGCAGAUCAGCAACGCUGCGGUGAAUACGUUCCCGGGUCUUGUACACAC
rnacentral:rRNA from 1 species